AAAGCGCACGUAGGCGGCUUGGUAAGUUAGAGGUGAAAGCCCAGGGCUCAACCCUGGAAUUGCCUUUAAGACUGCCGAGCUAGUAGGUGAGAGAGGUGAGUGGAAUUCCGAGUGUAGAGGUGAAAUUCGUAGAUAUUCGGAAGAACACCAGUGGCGAAGGCGGCUCACUGGCUCAUUCUAGACGCUGAGGUGCGAAAGCGUGGGGAGCAAACAGGAUUGGAUACCCCUGU
rnacentral:rRNA from 1 species